CCAACAACCUGAGUGUCUCGGCCAGUAUGCCUUAUGUUGCAAUACCCCUGGAACUUUCUGAACUGAUUGACCUGUCUAACUACUAUGUUUCUCACUAGCAUACACCAAGUUAAAUCCAG